AAUCUUCCUCUUUUAGCUGUGGAAGACAACGUCCACACACCACAUCUGUCACAUAACUGAUAACUGUGCUUUUUAGUUGUAUCACCCCUCAGGAAGCAUGAGUUUGGCAUAGCUCUCCGAAGACUGCAAGUUCAGUUUCUGAUCUGGAAGAAUGAGUGGAUGGUUCCUGCUCUUGCUGUUUACCCAUGAAGAGCCUAACCUUGUGAAAUCUUUACAUAAGGCUUGUGCAGAUUUUUGUUUACAUCAAAUCUAAACUGAAACUUAAACCUGGAUGGAAUUCUUUCCCCCCACCCUUCACAGUUUCAGUUAUAUUGGCACAGGGUUCUAUGUUACUGAAGCAACACAGAAACCAACAGAACUACUGUGGUUUAGUAAGAAGCAGAAAUGGAGACAAGCCUUUUCAUUUCCAAAGCUAUAUAACAUGGUUUUUGAUCACAUUAAAUACUUGCAUCAAAGUUCCAUUGAUCUCACUAUUAAAAACAACUAUAUUCAUAGUAGUUUUAAUAAGAUUAUUUUUAUAGUUAUUGAUUGCCUCAUGUAUUUGUUUUAUUCCAAAAAAUGCAAAAAUGUAAGGGCACUUA